UACGGGGGGACAAGCGUUGUUCGGAAUUACUGGGCGUAAAGGGCUCGUAGGCGGCCAACUAAGUCAGACGUGAAAUCCCUCGGCUUAACCGGGGAACUGCGUCUGAUACUGGUUGGCUUGAGUGUGGGAGAGGGAUGCGGAAUUCCAGGUGUAGCGGUGAAAUGCGUAGAUAUCUGGAGGAACACCGGUGGCGAAGGCGGCAUCCUGGACCAUUACUGACGCUGAGGAGCGAAAGCCAGGGGAGCAAACGGG
rnacentral:rRNA from 1 species